GUUUGAUCCUGGCUCAGAACGAACGCUGGCGGCAGGCUUAACACAUGCAAGUCGAGCGCAUCCUUCGGGGUGAGCGGCGGACGGGUGAGUAACGCGUGGGAACGUGCCCUCUUCAACGGAAUAGCCCAGGGAAACUUGGAUUAAUGCCGUAUACGCCCGAAAGGGGAAAGAUUUAUCGGAGGAGGAUCGGCCCGCGUUGGAUUAGGUAGUUGGUGGGGUAAUGGCCUACCAAGCCGACGAUCCAUAGCUGGUUUGAGAGGAUGAUCAGCCACACUGGGACUGAGACACGGCCCAGACUCCUACGGGAGGCAGCAGUGGGGAAUCUUGGACAAUGGGGAAACCCUGAUCCAGCCAUGCCGCGUGAUCGAUGAAGGCCUUAGGGUUGUAAAGAUCUUUCAGCUGGGAAGAUAAUGACGGUACCAGCAGAAGAAGCCCCGGCUAACUCCGUGCCAGCAGCCGCGGUAAUACGGAGGGGCUAGCGUUGUCGGAAUUACUGGGCGUAAAGCGCACGUAGGCGGAGUCAGUCAGUCG
rnacentral:rRNA from 1 species